rnacentral:lncRNA from 1 species
AAAAUAGGAAUAUCAUGUAUUCUAACAAGAAUUAAUCACUUUUAAAGAAGAUUCCUUCUUCUCUGCUUGCAACAAUACUUGCAUUCAUGCAAACAUUCCUGAAGGAGGGAAGAAAGUGGAAAAACAGAGACUGCAGGUAGUUCACUUGUGAAUGAAGCUAGAGAGCCUGUGGCAGGAAUUGGUACAUCACAGAAGGUUUGGGUACCAAGCCAAGCAGCAUGAAUUCCAUCUGUCAACGAUGGGGAGCCAUGGAAUAUGUUACUAGAACGGAGACACAAGUCCUGGAUGUGGAGCAGCCAUCUUUUGACCAUAAGGUAGAAGACCACACAAGUCCUGAUGACUUCUUUGAGCAACUACACUUCUACUGGACCGUACACCUCCUGACCUCGUGUCAUGUGAAGAAAAUCUCAAUCUGGUUAAGCUACUGAGUUGGGUUCAAGCAACUGAAUGCAAUCCCAAUAUAGUAUUAUAUACAUUUCUUGGAGAUUUGAAAUAAAUUUAACAUAUUAAAAAUU